CUUUUCCAGUGAUGAAGAUAAGGUUUCAUUCAAAUCAAAAGUGGUGCUGUCAAAAAAAUAUUGAAUUCAAAUGGUUUACCCAUAGGCAUAGCUGGCAAGUGUCCACUGUAACUAAAAUACUUUCCAAGUCCCACCAUCAUGCGAAUGAAACCUUUUGAGUUGGACAUUAUCGGUCACACACUCUCCACAAGUGUGUCCCAAAUGGAACACUAUUGCCUAUAAUCAGUGUACCCAUAGGGCUCUGGUCAAAAGCAGGACACUAAGGGGAAUUGGGUGCCAUUUGGGACUCAUUCCCAGACUCUUCUCUAAUUUAAACCUAUCACUCUCAAGACACUUUAAAAGCUGUAUCCUAUGGGUUAAUAGUUAUGCUGAAACAACACUGUGUGUCAUUUCAGACAAGCUGGUGCAAUGGCUCUUCAAAUGGAAAAAGGCCUGAACAUGUUGGCUCUCUGAAUGGACACAUCCCCAGAGCAGGGAAACAGAGCACUCCUAACCGGCUAGUUCUGAGGGAUGUCUGUGAAGCGCGUCUUGGACCUGGACAAUCAGACAAAUGGACCUCCAGCCAGUCAACAGGCUUCCAGAGACCAGCUCAGACCCCAGAACACCAUCCAGUUGCCAGCCAGAGAGGGAAUUCCCCAGAGCACAGCAAAUGGAGAGAGACCCACAUGCCCAGCACACUGCGGAGAUCACCCGCUCGCUGUCAGCUAGCAGUCAACGGAACACCUAGGAAGCAGACGGAGUCUCUGACUCAUAAGAAGCCACCUCACAUCCAAUCAAGCCCUGUGACAUCAUCAACACACAAAGCUGAACAAAGACUCCCAGCAGCCUCUCCUCCCUGCUUCAAAAAUGGAUGGCGCCCUAAGAGGGCAUCAGACACACUGUGUCGGGACAAGAAUCAAGAGACUGGGUGUGUGUCGCCACUGCUCAAGACGCGCCGUGCAGAGUUCAGUGGAGAUUCCCAAAUGUCUGUGAGAUGCAGCCCAGUGGAGUCGGAGCAGGAUUCUGCAUCAGAACCAUCUCCAGAAAGAGAGGUGGACAGUUCCUCAAAGACGGACGACAGGCUCUCUGUCUCCCCAGGAGACUCAACAUGGAGGAAACAUGACUCUGGGAUGAAUGGAUCUCCUCCACAAAACACAGAGAAGGAGGGGAAGGGAGGCUCAGGAUCACUGCAGAACCAGAUCAAGGUGACUAGUGGUUCACCAGGGACGGGCCCCAGGGGAAGUGUCCCUGUCCCUGCAGGCCACCAAAGCCAGAGCCCAGAUAGUGACGACCCUCCCGACCGCCCCUUGAUGUCAUGGGCCAGAGGUGCAUCCACAGGGUCCCCGAAACACCCCCUCUCCGCUGUGGCUUCAGUGACCCAGGCCACACAGGAGAAGCAGUUUUCCUUUAGCAGGCCUCCCCUCCGGGCUAACCUCACAGACAGAGAGAGGAGGCCUCCCCUCCGGGCUAACCUCACAGACAGAGAGAGGAGGCCUCCAACCAAGUGUCUCUCCCUCCAUCUCAGGCUGAGGCGGCCCAAGCCCACUUCCACAGAACCUAUUGUGCUUUCCAGUGAGGAUGAGGACAUAGAUGAUGAAGAAGAGUGCCCCAGGCUGAAGACCCCACAACAGAGCCCCAGGCAAGGCCAACCCACCCCAGAAGAACAUGUACCCAAACAG
ensembl:lncRNA